UGAGUGCACUUUUUAACUGUCCUAUGACGC
rnacentral:piRNA from 1 species